rnacentral:snRNA from 1 species
AUAAUUUCGGCAGCACAUAUACUAAAAUUGGAAUGAUACAGAGAAGAUUAGCAUAGCCCCUGCGCAAGGGUGACACACAAAUUUGUAAAGCGUUCCAUAUUUUU